UACGUAGGGGGCAAGCGUUGUCCGGAUUUACUGGGCGUAAAGCGCGCGUAGGCGGAACGUUAAGUCCGGUCUGAAAGCCCCCGGCUCAACCGGGGAGGGUGGCUGGAAACUGGCGUUCUUGAGGGCGAGAGAGGAGGGUGGAAUUCCCGGUGUAGUGGUGAAAUGCGUAGAGAUCGGGAGGAACACCUGUGGCGAAGGCGGCCACCUGGGCCGACCCUGACGCUGAGGCGCGAAGGCGUGGGGAGCGAACGGG
rnacentral:rRNA from 1 species